GCAGAAUCAAUGAUUUGUACAAAAUACUUUGCUUGACAUUAUUGAGUCAAGAGUUAUCACACGAGAACAGCACUGAUAGGCUUGCAACAAAGUCUCAAAAAGAGGAGCUACUAACAGUUCCACCAAAUUUAGCUAGAACUGUAGAGGUCUAAAACAACAUCUACUAAUUCUUGGAGAAUAUGCCUAGCAACUUUAGUGCCACAUUCAUAUUCUUCAAUCUCGAAGUCCGUACAUUUACCCAAAGAAUGGCUCAUAUCCCAUUCUAUUAGCUCGUCUGGGAUCAAACCACCAAAUUGUGUCCACUCUUCGACCUCAUCAAUAAUAUCAGCAAUCAGAAUCUCUUUGGUCAUA
rnacentral:lncRNA from 1 species